GACUAAAACAGGUCGUCGUCGUCUUUCUCAGUUCUCUACUUCACACAGAAGAGUCUGUAAAAGGAAGAAGAGAAGAGCAAUGAGUGGAGAAGAAUUAGCGGGCCCUCCAGAGCCAAAGCUCCUCCGUCUGCUUUAUUUUGUCUGCGCUGGCUUUAUUUGCACUGUUGGAAUCAAUGGCUUAAACUUCAGCGCAAGUUCAUUUUACAACAACAGCAGCAGCAGCAACAGCUCCCUGAAAAUGCCGUAAAUGCUCUCGAGUGAUCUCCAGGUUUAAGGCAACUUUUCAAUUUUUGUCAUGGAAUUUGGCAAGUAAGCUUGAUCUUUGGCUUCGUUUUGAGUUUGUAUGUGCUGCUCCAACUGAAGUCAUGUUAGACUGAGCUUUGGUAGUUUGGUUGUUAAAUUAUGUGGAAAAUGGUGCAAGAAUUCAUGCCUUUCAAUCUGUUUGAACAUACGAAAUACCUAUGUGUGCAAAUUUCUUUGGCUUCAUUUUGAGUUUGAUCAAAUUGCUAAUCUGAGUAUUCAGUGUACAAAUUUGAAUGGUAAUGGGGAUUUUGUCAAGAUUUCAAUUUUGCAUACAUUUGUGGUUCUUUUGUGCCAUUUUCUCUUUAGUUUAUAGUUUGAUUUGGGCAGUAUACAACAUUCUUGAGGAUGACUCAAAUAGCGAGAUUAUUGAUAUUGAGUAAGAAGGUGAGAUUAUUGGUGUGUGUGUGUGUGUGUGUGUGCGUGCGCAGUGGGGGUUGCUAUUGUGAGUACCGAAGUGCUUUCUCAUCUUAGAAUAUGUAUGUCUAUUGAAGCUGUGGAUUCUAAUCCAAAUCGAGGCGAAUUUGUCAUCUGUGAAUAAUGCUACGUAAGAGUUCAGGCAGUCUUAUCUAAGAUGCUUUGGCAUAAGGUGGCUUGGGGUUCCCGUAGAAAUACCAUAGAAUGCAUGCUUCUAUUUAUUGACUUUGGAUUUUCAUGCAUUGCACUAUUUUAUUUGCUGGUUAUCAGAACGACCUACUCUUGAAGAUUGUAAUUAUAUGUUAAUGGACCUUGUAUUUGUGUAGAUGCUACGUUAAACCAUCUUCAAGUAUAUAAACAAGCAUGCUUUUUAAGUUAUUAAAGAAAUUGGAACUUAGUGCCAGUAUGACAAUUGGCGAUAUGUAUGUGAUUUGUAGGGCGGUGAGAGUUCAGUAGUUUUCUACUAUUCUGUCGUGGAUUUUGCAGCAUGCUCCCUUUCAACUAUCCUCGGAUGCUUAUGCAUAAUCAAUUGGAGGUUCUAACUUCUAACUUCACAUAAUGUAGCCAAAACCGUGAGGCAAUCACUUCAUUGAGUUCUGCAACCCUCACAUAAUGCAGGUGAUAUGUAAUGCUAGUUUUCUUCAAAGUUUUCACUCAGUUUCUAAAUAAAUCUGUCAAAAUGAGUUUCGUGAUAACGGUGUUUGCAAAAAUUAGGGGGAUGUCUACAACUGCUUUGAGAUAGUUCUGUCAAUAGUGAUUGUUUGAGUCUGACAGUCUGUUGGGUACAUAUAGUUCUCUGUUGCGGCUAGAUAGCUGGAUGCAGUUUUUCAUUUGAAAGCCUUGAGGGACUUUUGGAGCUGAAGCUUUCAUGUUUGUUUUUGCCUAGAUACAUUCUUUUGUCGAACUAUAUCAAUUAAGGUUAUUGAUUGGGCAGAAUCAUAUCUGAAUAUGUGGUCAAGAUUUAAAGUUUGACAUUUCAAACUAUUUUAAAGAACGUUUCAUGGCUUUUAUUUCAGCACAGGGAACAUCUCUUCAAACCAGAGAUUGGGGUCAACCCUCAACAAAUUCUCUGUAAGUCUGAUGUCAUUGAACGAUCCAAACGGGAAGGAGCAAAACAGAGACAAAAGCAAAGUAAUACAAAGAGAGUUGGAUCAAGAAACAGCUAGGAUUCAAGGGUACGAAGCAUAGCAAAAGCUGAAAUUUUCCUAGUCUAUAUUCUUUUUCCUCUCAAAACGGUAUAUCGACAGAAAGGAAAUGAAAAUCAUCAAGGAAACUGUAAACUAUAUACAAACAUGUUCGUUACUUAUACGAAUUGGUGGGUUCAUCAA